UUCAGCCAGUUAUCCAGUCCAGUCAAAAGCCCUGAACCAUCUGAGUCGGAGUUGGUGGAGACUUCAAGCAUUCAAGAGGAAGUUGUGGACCUGAGAGAAAUAAAGAAUGGCCACUCUGAGAUUAAGACCGAGAUUAUCGAUGUGGAACCGGUCGCCAAGAUGGACAACCGCUUCUUUGGUGAGCUUCUUGCCGAGGUUUACCGCAAGAACUCAGAUAUUCACACCUGCAUCUCCGAGCAUGUGGCCAAGAUCCGCGGAAGGAAACACCUCCUGGACCCCACCAUUGACUACAAGGUAGG